AAACCGGUACACAUCUUUGUGGAAACUGGCCCUGAGACGUUUCUGAAGAUCAGGAGUAGAGAUCACAAAACGAAAAACUUUGUGUCAGUAACAUGUCUUGAGGAGCUAAUCAGAGUUGCUGUGGGUCAUGGAAUUUGUCAGGAGGGCAACAUACAGGUGUAUUUAAUGGAUGAGUUAUCACUUCGCUCUAUGGUUGCUGGUGCUGAGAAAUGCCUCAAUGACAUUUUCAUUGUUAAAAAUGGACUAUGGAAACAAGAUCAGUCAACAUGUGUGAGUGCACCUUCACCAAUCCCACAAAUGCCUCUGCUCUCACGAAUUUAUUACCCUUGGGAGAGCCUCAGCAAGACAGUACUUGAUGCAUUGG